rnacentral:rRNA from 1 species
UUGAAGUCUUGUAAUUGGAAUGAUGGGAAUCUAAACCCCUUCCAGAGUAUCAAUUGGAGGGCAAGUCUGGUGCCAGCAGCCGCGGUAAUUCCAGCUCCAAUAGCGUAUAUUAAACUUGUUGCAGUUAAAAAGCUCGUAGUUGAAUUUCUGCUGUUUCGUUGACUGCGCUUGGCGUUUGUCAUCGUUGCGGCUUGGUUGGGUUUCGAUUAUUCGUUUCCCGGCGUUUACUUUGAGAAAAUUAGAGUGCUUGAAGCAGGCUUUUGCCUUGAAUACUUUAGCAUGGAAUAACGGAGUAGGACUUUGGUUCUAUUUUGUUGGUUUUAGGAGCCAGAGUAAUGGUUAAUAGGAACA